rnacentral:rRNA from 1 species
GUGCAGCAGGCGAGAAACUUUACAAUGUGCGAAAGCACGAUAAGGGAACUCUGAGUGCCUCCUAAGGAGGCUGUUCUGAUGUCUAAAAAGCAACAGAAGUAAGGGCUGGGUAAGACCGGUGCCAGCCGCCGCGGUAACACCGGCAGCCCAAGUGGUAGCCACGUUUAUUGGGUCUAAAGCGUUCGUAGCCGGCCAGGUAAGUUCCUUGGUAAAUUUAGCCGCUUAACGGUUAAGCUUUCAGGGAAUACUGCUUGGCUUGGGACUGGGAGAGGUCAGAGGUACUCCGGGGGUAGGGGUGAAAUCUAUUAAUCCCUGGGGGACCACCGGUAGCGAAGGCGUCUGACCAGACCAGGUCCGACGGUGAGGGACGAAGGCUAGGGGCGCGAACCGGAUUAGAUA